CGCGGCGGGAGUCGCCCGGGGGUGGUGCCCCGGGCCUGACGAUGCAGCCACUU
rnacentral:ncRNA from 2 species